GGGGCCAUAGCUCAGCUGGGAGAGCGCCUGCCUUGCAAGCAGGAGGUCAUGGUUCGAUCCCGCUUGGCUCCA
rnacentral:tRNA from 1 species